AAUAGCAAUUCAACCAUUAGACCCUUGCAAUUAUUACUAUUAAUCAAAGGUCAACUGUGUGUGUGUCAUUCCUCCUCUGGAAAGAGACAUGAUAAGUAGAUCAACUGUAGUGAAGGUUGUAGUUGUUUUUCUAGUAGUGCAAGUGCUGCUGUAUGAAACUGGUGCAUUCUCAGCUUUAUUUAAAAAGCCACGUAGUACAAACCAGAAUAUUGAAUCCGAGAAGUCUAACUGGUACGACGACACUGAGGACACUGCUGGGACUGAGAACACUAUAGCUAGCAAGGCUAAUAACAUUGGCCUCAGCAAACCACAGAGUACAAACCAGGAUUAUGAUUCCAAGAAGUCUAACUUGCAUGAGACUAAGAACACUGGUGUUAGCAAAGUGAGUUACCAUGUACAUGCAAUA